CGACCUCAGAGCAGGCGAGACUACCCGCUGAAUUUAAGCAUAUUACUAAGCGGAGGAAAAGAAACUAACAAGGAUUCCCCCAGUAGCGGCGAGCGAACAGGGAAGAGUCCAGCACCGAACCCCGCAGGCUGCCGCCUGUCGUGGCAUGUGGUGUUUGGGAGGGUCCACUACCCCGACGCCUCGCGCCGAGCCCAAGUCCAACUUGAAUGAGGCCACGGCCCGUAGAGGGUGCCAGGCCCGUAGCGGCCGGUGCGAGCGUCGGCGGGACCUCUCCUUCGAGUCGGGUUGCUUGAGAGUGCAGCUCCAAGUGGGUGGUAAACUCCAUCUGAGACUAAAUAUGACCACGAGACCGAUAGCGAACAAGUACCGUGAGGGAAAGUUGAAAAGAACUUUGAAGAGAGAGUUCAAAAGUACGUGAAACCGUUCUGGGGUAAACGUGAGAAGUCCGAAAGGUCGAACGGGUGAGAUUCACGCCCAUCCGGCCACUGGCCUCCGCCCUCGGCAGAUGGGGCCGGCCGCCCGCGCGGAGCAAUCUGCGGCGGGGUCGUGUCCGGUUGCCUUUCCACUCGCCGCGGGGUGGGGCCGUUCCGGUGUGCGGUGGGCCGCACUUCUCCCCUAGUAGGACGUCGCGACCCGCUGGGUGCCGGCCUACGGCCCGGGUGCGCAGCCUGUCCUUCCGCGGGCCUCGGUUCGCGUCUGUUGGGCAGAGCCCCGGUGUCCUGGCUGGCUGCCCGGCGGUAUAUCUGGAGGAGUCGAUUCGCCCCUUUGGGCGCUCGGGCUCCCGGCAAGCGCGCGCGGUUCUUCCCGGAUGACGGACCUACCUGGCCCGGCCCCGGACCCGCGCCGCUGUUGGCUCGGGAUGCUCUCGGGCGGAAUAAUCGCUCCCGUCAGCGGCGCUUCAGCUUUGGACAAUUUCACGACCCGUCUUGAAACACGGACCAAGGAGUCUAACAUGUGCGCGAGUCAUUGGGCUGUACGAAACCUAAAGGCGUAAUGAAAGUGAAGGUCUCGCCUUGCGCGGGCCGAGGGAGGAUGGGGCUUCCCCGCCCUUCACGGGGCGGCGGCCUCCGCACUCCCGGGGCGUCUCGUCCUCAUUGCGAGGUGAGGCGCACCUAGAGCGUACACGUUGGGACCCGAAAGAUGGUGAACUAUGCCUGGCCAGGACGAAGUCAGGGGAAACCCUGAUGGAGGUCCGUAGCGAUUCUGACGUGCAAAUCGAUCGUCGGAGCUGGGUAUAGGGGCGAAAGACUAAUCGAACCAUCUAGUAGCUGGUUCCCUCCGAAGUUUCCCUCAGGAUAGCUGGUGCUCGUACGAGUCUCAUCCGGUAAAGCGAAUGAUUAGAGGCCUUGGGGCCGAAACGACCUCAACCUAUUCUCAAACUUUAAAUGGGUGAGAUCUCCGGCUUGCUUGAUAUGCUGAAGCCGCGAGCAAACGACUCGGAUCGGAGUGCCAAGUGGGCCACUUUUGGUAAGCAGAACUGGCGCUGUGGGAUGAACCAAACGCCGAGUUAAGGCGCCCGAAUCGACGCUCAUGGGAAACCAUGAAAGGCGUUGGUUGCUUAAGACAGCAGGACGGUGGCCAUGGAAGUCGGAAUCCGCUAAGGAGUGUGUAACAACUCACCUGCCGAAGCAACUAGCCCUGAAAAUGGAUGGCGCUGAAGCGUCGUGCCUAUACUCGGCCGUCAGUCUGGCAGUCAUGGCCGGUCCUUGCGGCCGGCCGCGAAGCCCUGACGAGUAGGAGGGUCGCGGCGGUGGGCGCAGAAGGGUCUGGGCGUGAGCCUGCCUGGAGCCGCCGUCGGUGCAGAUCUUGGUGGUAGUAGCAAAUACUCCAGCGAGGCCCUGGAGGGCUGACGCGGAGAAGGGUUUCGUGUGAACAGCCGUUGCACACGAGUCAGUCGAUCCUAAGCCCUAGGAGAAAUCCGAUGUUGAUGGGGGCCGUCAUAGCAUGAUGCGCUUUGUGCUGGCCCCCGUUGGGCGAAAGGGAAUCCGGUUCCUAUUCCGGAACCCGGCAGCGGAACCGAUACAAGUCGGGCCCCUCUUUUAGAGAUGCUCGUCGGGGUAACCCAAAAGGACCCGGAGACGCCGUCGGGAGAUCGGGGAAGAGUUUUCUUUUCUGCAUGAGCGUUCGAGUUCCCUGGAAUCCUCUAGCAGGGAGAUAGGGUUUGGAACGCGAAGAGCACCGCAGUUGCGGCGGUGUCCCGAUCUUCCCCUCGGACCUUGAAAAUCCGGGAGAGGGCCACGUGGAGGUGUCGCGCCGGUUCGUACCCAUAUCCGCAGCAGGUCUCCAAGGUGAAGAGCCUCUAGUCGAUAGAAUAAUGUAGGUAAGGGAAGUCGGCAAAUUGGAUCCGUAACUUCGGGAUAAGGAUUGGCUCUGAGGAUCGGGGCGUGUCGGGCUUGGUCGGGAAGUGGGUCAGCGCUAACGUGCCGGGCCUGGGCGAGGUGAGUGCCGUAGGGGUGCCGGUAAGUGCGGGCGUUUAGCGCGGGCGUGGUCUGCUCUCGCCGUUGGUCGGCCUCGUGCUGGUCGGCGGUGCAGGAUGCGCGCGCCUGCGCGGCGUUCGCGCCCCGGUGCUUCAACCUGCGUGCAGGAUCCGAGCUCGGUCCCGUGCCUUGGCCUCCCACGGAUCUUCCUUGCUGCGAGGCCGCGUCCGCCUUAGCGUGCUCCUCCGGGGGCGCGCGGGUGCGCGGAUUCUCUUCGGCCGCCAUUCAACGAUCAACUCAGAACUGGCACGGACUGGGGGAAUCCGACUGUCUAAUUAAAACAAAGCAUUGCGAUGGCCCUAGCGGGUGUUGACGCAAUGUGAUUUCUGCCCAGUGCUCUGAAUGUCAACGUGAAGAAAUUCAAGCAAGCGCGGGUAAACGGCGGGAGUAACUAUGACUCUCUUAAUGAAUCUCUUCCUUCUGGCCCGCGCCCUUCCGGAACGCCUGCUUCGCGCGCGGACGUCCCUUCUCCCGAAAACGGCUGCACCAACAUCCCCCGCUGACUUUCGCCCCAUUACGGUCUGCUCGGUGUUGGCGCGGACCUUUCACAAGGUUCUCGCGUCACGCCUGAUGCGCGCAUGUGCUGUGGACGAACGUCAGCGGGCAUUCAUCCCUCGGGAUGGGAUGUUGGAAAAUACCUUCAUCUUGGACACUGCUCUCACCGACGCAGUUCGCUCCUGCCGCUCUGUCUUUGUGGCGUCGAUCGACGUAUCUAAGGCAUUCGAUUCGGUAGAUCAUGCUGCCCUUCGCCCCGUGCUGAAGGCGCAUGGCCUGCCGGAUUGCUUUGUCGAGUAUGUCGAGCGGUGCUACGAGGGCAGCACGACAGUGAUAGCGGACGGCGCCGGCGUGGGCGUGUCUGUGCAGCCAGCACGGGGCGUUCGCCAGGGCGAUCCCCUCUCCCCCCUCCUGUUCAACUUUGCGGUGGACUACGUUUUAGGCCAACUGCCCUCCCACAUCGGAGCUCGGAUCCUCGGUCGCAGAGUCAACGCUGCGGCCUUUGCAGAUGACGUCUUGCUGUUUGCAGCGACCCCGAGGGGCUUGCAGUCCCUCAUCGACGCAGCUACCGCAGCCCUCGCCCACCUGGGGCUGCAGAUCAACGCCCGGAAGUGUUUCACCCUCGCCUUAGUCGCGUCAGGGCGCGAGAAGAAGGUGAAGGUGGACAGCAAUGUCACCUUCACAGCAGGCAAUACCACCAUGCCUGCCCUGCGUGUGGGUGAAACCUUCCGGUACCUGGGGCUGCAAUUUUCCACGGCGGGUCGCUGUGUCCUCAAUCCACGUAGCCACCUGGUGGAGCAGCUUGACGUCAUCUCCCGAGCUCCGCUGAAGCCGCAACAGCGCCUCCACGCUCUCACCAACGUACUUCUCCCUGGCCUGUACCACGGGCUGGCCCUCAGCCGCACCCGGGUGGGUGCAUUGAAGUCGGCCGACGUUACCAUCCGGGCCGCCGUCAGGAGAUGGUUCCGCCUUCCGGCGGACACCCCCCUGGGAUACUUCCACGCUCCUGUUGCCCAGGGGGGCCUCGGCAUUCCAUCUUGCCGAUGGAUGGGUCCGACCCUCCGUCGGUCCCGUCUCCUGGCGCUGAAGAAGAUAGGGCCAGCCUGCGACGGUGCAGGCAUGGAUGAAGUGCAGCGUGAGAUCGAGGUGCUGGAGCGCCACCUAAUGUGGGAGGGCCACCUCCUCAAAUCGUCAACGCAGGUUGGGGAAAUGUGGGCGGCGCGCCUACACAUCGCCAUUGACGGUGCGGCACUGUCAUCUUCUGCCGCCGUCAGUGGCCAACAUCAGUGGGUCGCCGACACCAGUCGCCUGCUAUCUGGGCGUGAAUACAUCGACGCCCUCCGCGCCCGCAUCAACGCCUUCCCUACGAAGGCACGGCGCAGUCGCGGGCGGGAGGCGGACACCAGAUGCCGCGCGGGGUGCCAGGCCGUGGAGACCGCCAACCACGUACUUCAGGCUUGCUUUAGGACGCACGGGUCCCGGGUCAAGCGCCAUGACGCUGUAGUGCGUUAUGUCGCCCGUGGACUCGCGCAGAGGGGCUUCAAUGUCUCUGUGGAGCCCCACCUCCGAACACCUGAGGGCAUCCGCAAGCCUGACGUGGUGGCGGUCAAAGACGGCAUCGCCCGCGUGGUCGACGCCCAGAUAGUCGGAGACCACCUCCGGCUCGACUGGUGUCACUCCCAGAAGGCGGCCUACUACGACACGCCGUCCAUCCGGCGUGCCAUCUCCAACCUGCACCGUGACGUUGAGGAGGUGAUUGUGUCCACCGCGACGUUGAACUGGAGGGGUGUAUGGUCUCCAGCGUCGGCGAGGGAUCUCGCCGCCUUAGGCUUCCGACCCCGAGAACUGGCGGUGCUGAGCACAAGAACACUACAGAGCUGCUGCAAAAGUUACAAGAUUUUCGAGCGUAUGACGGCUCCUAGCCCGAAGCAGCGUGUCGGCGUCGGCUAGGCUGCUGGUUAUUUUUCUUCGCCUUGACUCCUGGGGCCUAUCCACAGGAGGAAUAAACCGUCUUUGUUCUUCCUUCUU